CUCAGAAGCCCCAGCCUUCUCCUAGUGCCAGCACCACACAUUGUGACAAAAGCAUAGGUUCUAGACCCAAGUGGUAACCUCCUUCUAUACUGGGUGCUAGCAAUCAGAAGCAGCCUUAGACAUCAUCUUUGUGGCUGCCCCUCCUCUCUGAGACCCUGAGUACCUCACCAGAUCCCACCUCUUGCAAACACUGGAGUAUGGGCCAAUUAGGAGAGAGAAGGUUUCCACCAGCUAAAAUGACUCUGCUCUGAAGAAAGGGCUCUCAACACACACAGUGCGCUAGGAGGUGGGUGGUGUGGAAUAGCCAGCCACACAGAAGGUCCCCACUCAGUUCAGGCAUCCUAGACAUCUCCCUUUCUCUAGAGACUGCCAGAAAACUUGAAGCUUGUGCCUGGAGUAUUUGGGGAACAUGCUCAUGGGAGACAUUUUCAGCUGCUCAGGAUGAGCACACUACUAAGAAGUGGGUCCUCAGCAGCCAGCUCUUCCUCAGAGGCUCACAUUUUACUUUUCUCCAUGGAGUCUGGCAUGAAGGACUGGCAGCUGUGAUCAAUUCAAAUUUUCAUGAACGAAUGAUAAAUGCCAAUACUUGA
rnacentral:lncRNA from 1 species